UCUAAGCAGGGUCCUGGCUCUGGCCAGUGGCCCCAGGCCUUGUUUGUGACUCUAGGCUCUCACCACUGGGGAAGACGGUCUGUACUGCCAUCUCUUCUUCCUCUUAGCCUCUUUGCAUGGUGGCUCAUGCUUUCUGCGCUGCCUUGAGAGAGAGCGAGGCUCCAUGGACCACGCGCAGGCAGCCCCCGUGGCAGGGUGCGUGGAGAGUACCACACGUUGCAGGGCAGCCGCCUCCCCUCCAAAAGGCUCAGGCACAGAGAUGGAGGGAGAUUUCCCCUGUUCCAGAGGCUUCUCCUUCCUCCGGUGCGCCCUCGUGCUGCGGGACGGACUCUGGAUUUGGGAGGCUCCUGCCUCGUGCCUGCUGGAUGAACUUGGCCUGAGUUUUGAAGAAGUACUAAACACGUGAGCCGUGGGACUGCAAAGAGCUUGGCACGUGCUUGCACCAGUUGGGUUGAAGCCUGGUGGUCACAUCUGCCUUUGGGAAGAGGUGCCCGGCUCUGAAGGUUCACCCAGCCCAAACACAAGUCACUUCGAUAACACCAGGGUGGUGAGAAGGAGCAAUGAAACACAGGUAUAAAUCCACGUUGAUGCUAGAAACCUCCCCCAGCCAAGAGACCAAGAAACCUCACCUCCACCAAGGAGAAGAAAAUCAUGUCAGCCCCUCAUAAGAGAGCUGUCGGUGCAUGAUUUGCAGAACUGGAAAGCCAACGCCAAGACUGAGUUAUUCCCCUUUUGUGUGCUGCUUCAUACAUACCACAUUAUGAUCCUGAUAUGUUCAAUCUAUUGUACUGCACAGUGAUUAUUUCUGCUCAUCCAGGAACUUUCCAAUUAUAUGAACUAGUAGUAAUUAUUUGGUAAUUACAUUUCAUAACUAUAUUGCAAUCAAACUAAUUUCACUUCAAUUACAGUGCCCUUAUUAUGAAGUGUGAUCCAAUAAUCUGGUCUCUGUCCAUAUAAUAGUUCUUUGGUAUCUCUGUAUUAAUGAUCUGUACGUUAAAAUCUUU